GAUGAACGCUGGCGGCGUGCUUAACACAUGCAAGUCGAACGAAGAAGGUUAGAAUGAGAGCUUCGGCAGGAUUUCUUUCCAUCUUAGUGGCGGACGGGUGAGUAACGUGUGGGCAACCUGCCCUGUACUGGGGAAUAAUCAUUGGAAACGAUGACUAAUACCGCAUGUGGUCCUCGGAAGGCAUCUUCUGAGGAAGAAAGGAUUUAUUCGGUACAGGAUGGGCCCGCAUCUGAUUAGCUAGUUGGUGAGAUAACAGCCCACCAAGGCGACGAUCAGUAGCCGACCUGAGAGGGUGGACGGCCACAAGGGGACUGAGAUACGGCCCUU
rnacentral:rRNA from 1 species